CGGGGGACAAGCCCUCUUUUCCACUCUGCCUUUUGUGUCAAAUUCACAUUUAGUGCUCAUUACUAAACCUCAGGACUAAUUAUUUCUCACAAUUAUUUGGUCAUCAACAAUUUUAUAUUAAUUUUUGAUAGACCUAAUCAGGUGAAUACAAUUUUGGAUGAUUUGUCAGGCCGCGCCAUCGUCAUAUAAUAUUAAAUAUAUUUUAUAAUCAUGUAAAAAACUAUAUUGUAUGAUCUAUGAAUGUAGGCAUCUAGGCUUGGCCUUAUGGGCGUAACCGGUAUCCACCCGGUGACAUGAUGUCACUCAUAGCCUGCUCUACAAAUGCAGAGCGUACCUGAGACAUGGGUAAUGAUCCUUGAUCACUGCUGAUCGCUUCCCGUACAUCGGCGGCACCCAUACCGGGCAGAGAGGGUGCCGCUUCUCCUCUGACUCACUAUAAUGAGGCGGGCUGUGAAGAGCCUUCAGCACAAUAUCCUCCAAACACAACUGAUAUUCUUAGGGAGGAACGCAGGAUUGGUUCUAAGCAGCGCAAAGGAGCUAUCCUCUAUAAGUAACAAGCAGCUCGGGCUGACAGACAGAGCGGCAAGCUCACCGGCAUGUUGGCAGAAACCAAAGCCAAUAAAAGCGUUGUCUUGAAGGAUGGGCUCCUGUCCCUAUAUAUCCCACGCAACACCGUGGGAGAUCCCAGCGGGUGGAAGCAUAUGGGAGACAAGUUCUACAAGUUUACAAGGGUGACUAAAAAUAGGUUUACCGGCAUCUACCACCUUGACGGGCUUGUUGGCCAGUGCCAGCUGGACUUGGUCGGGCAACAAACAGUUCCCUAAAAAUAAAACAAACUUUGUGGUUGCCCAAAAUCCUACGAUAAUAUAAUAUAAAAAAAUUAUACAUAUUACAAAUAUUUCACGUUAAAUUGAAAUAAUUGCAAACG